AUUGAACGCUGGCGGCAGGCCUAACACAUGCAAGUCGAGCGAGAAAGGUCUUCGGACUGAGUAAAGCGGCGGACGGGUGAGUAACGCGUAGGAAUCUACCUGGUAGUGGGGGAUAACUCGGGGAAACCCGAGCUAAUACCGCAUACGCCCUAUGGGGGAAAGCGGGGGAUCUUCGGACCUCGCGCUAUUGGAUGAGCCUGCGUCGGAUUAGCUUGUUGGUGAGGUAAAGGCUCACCAAGGCGACGAUCCGUAGCUGGUCUGAGAGGAUGAUCAGCCACACUGGGACUGAGACACGGCCCAGACUCCUACGGGAGGCUG
rnacentral:rRNA from 1 species